AUGAUUGCUGGUAUGCAGAGCCAGAUCGUGUGCCACCGUUGCCGGAGGGUGCUGGCCUACCCGUCAGGGGCGCCCAGCGUGUGCUGCGCCAUGUGCCGAGCCAUCACCGCCGUGCCACCCCCAGCGCCAGCAGUGGAAAUGGCUCAGCUUAUAUGUGGUGGUUGCCGAACUUUGCUGAUGUACACCCGUAAUGCAGACACUGUGAGAUGCUCAUGUUGCAGUACUGUCAAUCUUGUCAGACCAGUCAAUAAUAUAGCCCACGUGAACUGUGGUCGGUGCCGGACAACUUUGAUGUAUCCACAUGGAGCACCUUCUGUCAAAUGUGCCAUCUGCGAUUAUAUCACAAAUACUGGAAUAAAUACCAUGUCACCAGCGCCAUGUCCAAGGCCUACAUCAAAUGAAUCUGCAUAUAAUGCCUCAUCAGCUUCUGUUCCCACACCUCAACCCCAGAAUGUAACCGUCGUUGUUGAGAACCCUAUGACAGUUGACGAAAAGGGUAAACUGGUCAGCAACGUCGUAGUUGGAAUUACACCUGGGAAAAAUUGA
rnacentral:rRNA from 1 species